UGUCCCAGCAGCCGCGGUAAUACAGAGGGUGCAAGCGUUAAUCGGAUUUACUGGGCGUAAAGCGCGCGUAGGCGGCUAAUUAAGUCAAAUGUGAAAUCCCCGAGCUUAACUUGGGAAUUGCAUUCGAUACUGGUUAGCUAGAGUGUGGGAGAGGAUGGUAGAAUUCCAGGUGUAGCGGUGAAAUGCGUAGAGAUCUGGAGGAAUACCGAUGGCGAAGGCAGCCAUCUGGUCUAACACUGACGCUGAGGUGCGAAAGCAUGGGGAGCAAACAGGAUUAGAUACCCUGGUAGUCCAUGCCGUAAACGAUGUUUACUAGCCGUUGGGGCCUUUGAGGCUUUAGUGGCGCAGCUAACGCGAUAAGUAGACCGCCUGGGGAGUACGGCCGCAAGACUAAAACUCAAAUGAAUUGACGGGGGCCCGCACAAGCGGUGGAGCAUGUGGUUUAAUUCGAUGCAACGCGAAGAACCUUACCUGGCCUUGACAUAGUAAGAACUUUCCAGAGAUGGAUUGGUGCCUUCGGGAACUUACAUACAGGUGCUGCAUGGCUGUCGUCAGCUCGUGUCGUGAUGUUGGGUUAAGUCCCGCAACGAGCGCAACCCUUUUCCUUAUUUGCCAGCGAGUAAUGUCGGGAACUUUAAGGAUACUGCCAGUGACAAACUGGAGGAAGGCGGGGACGACGUCAAGUCAUCAUGGCCCUUACGGCCAGGGCUACACACGUGCUACAAUGGUCGGUACAAAGGGUUGCUACCUAGCGAUAGGAUGCUAAUCUCAAAAAGCCGAUCGUAGUCCGGAUUGGAGUCUGCAACUCGACUCCAUGAAGUCGGAAUCGCUAGUAAUCGCGGAUCAGAAUGCCGCGGUGAAUACGUUCCCGGGCCUUGUACACACCGCCCGUCACACCAUGGGAGUUUGUUGCACCAGAAGUAGCUAGCCUAACUGCAAAGAG
rnacentral:rRNA from 1 species